UACGUAGGGGGCAAGCGUUAUCCGGAAUUAUUGGGCGUAAAGGGCGCGUAGGCGGGUAUUUAAGUCAGGUGUGAAAACCCAGAGCUCAACUCUGGGCCUGCAUCUGAAACUGAAUAUCUUGAGGACAGGAGAGGAAAGUGGAAUUCCUAGUGUAGCGGUGAAAUGCGUAGAUAUUAGGAGGAACACCAGUGGCGAAGGCGACUUUCUGGACUGUAACUGACGCUGAGGCGCGAAAGCGUGGGGAGCAAACAGG
rnacentral:rRNA from 1 species